GACGAACGCUGGCGGCGUGCCUAAUACAUGCAAGUUGAGCGAUGAAGAUUGGUGCUUGCACCAAUUUGAAGAGCAGCGAACGGGUGAGUAACGCGUGGGGAAUCUGCCUUUGAGCGGGGGACAACAUUUGGAAACGAAUGCUAAUACCGCAUAACAACUUUAAACAUAAGUUUUAAGUUUGAAAGAUGCAAUUGCAUCACUCAAAGAUGAUCCCGCGUUGUAUUAGCUAGUUGGUGAGGUAAAGGCUCACCAAGGCGAUGAUACAUAGCCGACUUGAGAGGGUGAUCGGCCACAUUGGGACUGAGACACGGCCCAAACUCCUACGGGAGGCAGCAGUAGGGAAUCUUCGGCAAUGGACGAAAGUCUGACCGAGCAACGCCGCGGGAGUGAAGAAGGGUUUCGGAUCGUAAAACUCUGUUGGUAGAGAAGAACGUUGGUGAGAGUGGAAAGCUCAUCAAGUGACGGUAACUACCCAGAAAGGGACGGCUAACUACGUG
rnacentral:rRNA from 1 species